rnacentral:rRNA from 3 species
CCGUAGGUGACCUGCGGAAGGAUCAUUA